UACGUAGGUGGCAAGCGUUGUCCGGAUUUACUGGGCGUAAAGAGCGCGCAGGCGGUCGAUCAAGUCGCGUGUGAAAGCCCCCGGCUCAACUGGGGAGGGUCACGCGAUACUGAUCGACUCGAAGGCAGGAGAGGGUAGUGGAAUUCCCGGUGUAGUGGUGAAAUGCGUAGAUAUCGGGAGGAACACCAGUGGCGAAGGCGACUUCCUGGCCUGUUCGUUGACGCUG
rnacentral:rRNA from 1 species